rnacentral:rRNA from 1 species
UACGAAGGGGGCUAGCGUUGCUCGGAAUCACUGGGCGUAAAGGGUGCGUAGGCGGGUCUUUAAGUCAGGGGUGAAAUCCUGGAGCUCAACUCCAGAACUGCCUUUGAUACUGAGGAUCUUGAGUAUGGGAGAGGUGAGUGGAACUGCGAGUGUAGAGGUGAAAAUUCGUAGAUAUUCGCAAGAACACCAGUGGCGAAGGCGGCUCACUGGCCCAUUACUGACGCUGAGGCACGAAAGCGUGGGGGAGCAAACAGGG